rnacentral:ncRNA from 1 species
UGGAAAUAUGAAAUGAGAGUAGGACAGCACUCUCUUUGGUUAGGAUGGAAGAAGUCCUGAUGGACUUAACCAUGUUUAAGACUGUCACUUUCUGUGUGGCAUCUAAGGUGUAUUCU